GACAGAGGGUGCAAGCGUUGUUCGGAAUCAUUGGGCGUAAAGCGCGCGUAGGCGGCUUUGCAAGUCGGAUGUGAAAGCCCGGGGCUCAACCCCGGAAGUGCAUCCGAAACUGCAAGGCUUGAGUCCCAGAGAGGGUGGUGGAAUUCCGAGUGUAGAGGUGAAAUGCGUAGAGAUGUGGAGGAACACCGAUGGCGAAGGCAGCCUUCUGGGCCAAUACUGACGCUCAUGCACGAAAGCGUGGGGAGCAAACAGG
rnacentral:rRNA from 1 species